AUGACCUUUAAAUUUAGUCCCGUGAGGCUAAGAAGGCAGCUCAAAAUCCAUAUAUAAACAAGAAAUUCUUGGCGAACAUUCGAAUUGACAGGAAGACCGGGGAGGAAGCUUUCCGGGCAGUUUAAGCAGACUUUGAGAGACCAUUUUAGACACGGAGACUGAGUGUAUAAAAUGGUCUUUUUGCU
rnacentral:sRNA from 1 species